AUGAAAUAUUUCCGCGGACGCCUCCCCGCUUCCCUCCCCGCUAGGCGGCCCGAGAUCCCAAUUUUCGUCCAAAUUUCCAAGAUUUGCCGGCGCUUCGUCGAACCAAAACAGCAAAACCCACAGAUUCGUCCCCUCCCUCCACUUCUACCCAGCCUAAAUUUCCCUCCGAAACUCAAAUCUUCUGGCCUGCUCCCUCCCUCCGACCUCCGGUACAAAUACCCAUGGAUUCUUCCCUCCCUUCGCCAGCACCACCCGAGCUACCUCCCGGCCUGGUACCACCAACCUCCAAUCCGAAGAGCCUCUGCUCGUAUGAGCUCCAAGAUGGCAGCUGACAGCGGCGACCAGGAGAACCUGCCGCCUAGUACAACGCCUCCGACUGCGACGGCUGCUGUCGUCCGCCCUCGUCAUUUUGGGGUCAAGAAAGGCCAGAUGAAGCGGCUCGGCAGGGCGCGGAGGCGGGCGCCGCUCAAGGACAUCACCAACCACUUCGCCGUGGAGACUGCAUCUGCCGAGGUGCAAGCUCUGCAGCAGCCGGAGGAGGGGUCGGAGGGGGACACGGCGAAGGAGGAGCCGGCGGCGCAGACGAACGCGCUUGCCAGUGCUGCGUCUGUUAAGGCGAGGAGGAACUCGCUCCGGAAGGAGUUUAGAUAG
rnacentral:rRNA from 1 species